UACGUAGGGGGCAAGCGUUGUCCGGAUUUAUUGGGCGUAAAGCGCACGUAGGCGGCCCGAUAAGUCCGUUGUGAAAGUCAAAGGCUCAACCUUUGAAUGCCGAUGGAUACUGUCGGGCUAGAGUCCGGAAGAGGCGAGUGGAAUUCCUGGUGUAGCGGUGGAAUGCGCAGAUAUCAGGAGGAACACCAAUAGCGAAGGCGGCUUCCUGGCCUGUUCUUGACGCUGAGGCGCGAAAGCUAGGGGAGCAAACGGG
rnacentral:rRNA from 1 species